UACGUAGGGGGCAAGCGUUGUCCGGAAUCAUUGGGCGUAAAGCGCGUGUAGGCGGCCCGGUAAGUCCGCUGUGAAAGUCGGGGGCUCAACCCUCGAAUGCCGGUGGAUACUGUCGGGCUAGAGUACGGAAGAGGCGAGUGGAAUCCCUGGUGUAGCGGUGAAAUGCGCAGAUAUCAGGAGGAACACCAAUGGCGAAGGCAGCUCGCUGGAACGGUACUGACGCUGAGGCGCGAAAGCGUGGGGAGCGAACAGG
rnacentral:rRNA from 1 species